rnacentral:rRNA from 1 species
UGGGGAAUAUUGGACAAUGGGCGAAAGCCUGAUCCAGCCAUGCCGCGUGUGUGAAGAAGGCCUUCGGGUUGUAAAGCACUUUAAGCGAGGAGGAAUGGCUCUGGGUUAAUACCCUUGAGCAGUGACGUUACUCGCAGAAUAAGCACCGGCUAACUCUGUGCCAGCAGCCGCGGUAAUACAGAGGGUGCAAGCGUUAAUCGGAAUUACUGGGCGUAAAGCGCGCGUAGGCGGUUACGUAAGUUGGAUGUGAAAUCCCCGGGCUCAACCUGGGAAUUGCAUUCAAAACUGCGUGGCUAGAGUGUGGGAGAGGAAGGUAGAAUUCCAGGUGUAGCGGUGAAAUGCGUAGAUAUCUGGAGGAAUACCGAUGGCGAAGGCAGCCUUCUGGCCUAACACUGACGCUGAGGUGCGAAAGCGUGGGGAGCAAACAGGAUUAGAUACCCAAGUAGUCCCUGAGCGGGCUGGCAAGGCGCAU